rnacentral:tRNA from 1 species
UCCAAGGUAGCUCAAUGGUAGAGUCCCCGGCUGUUAACCGGGUUGUUGUGGGUUCGAGCCCCACCCUUGGAGCCA